GGAGAGGUGCCAGAGUGGCCGAUUGGGGCGCCCUGCUAAGGCGUUAACCCUAUUAUUGGGUUCCUGGGUUCGAAUCCCAGCCUCUCCGCCA
rnacentral:tRNA from 1 species